AACCGGAUUAGAUACCCUGGUAGUCCACGCCCUAAACGAUGUCUACUAGUUGUCGGGUCUUAAUUGACUUGGUAACGCAGCUAACGCGUGAAGUAGACCGCCUGGGGAGUACGGUCGCAAGAUUAAAACUCAAAGGAAUUGACGGGGACCCGCACAAGCGGUGGAUGAUGUGGAUUAAUUCGAUGCAACGCGAAAAACCUUACCUACCCUUGACAUGGAAGGAAUCCUUGAGAGAUUGAGGAGUGCCCGAAAGGGAACCUUUACACAGGUGCUGCAUGGCUGUCGUCAGCUCGUGUCGUGAGAUGUUGGGUUAAGUCCCGCAACGAGCGCAACCCUUGUCAUUAGUUGCUACGCAAGAGCACUCUAAUGAGACUGCCGGUGACAAACCGGAGGAAGGUGGGGAUGACGUCAAGUCCUCAUGGCCCUUAUGGGUAGGGCUUCACACGUCAUACAAUGGUACAUACAGAGGGCCGCCAACCCGCGAGGGGGAGCUAAUCCCAGAAAGUGUAUCGUAAUCCGGAUCGUAGUCUGCAACUCGACUACGUGAAGUUGGAAUCGCUAGUAAUCGCGGAUCAGCAUGUCGCGGUGAAUACGUUCCCG
rnacentral:rRNA from 1 species